GAAUGCCUAUCAAUUACAAUGCAAGGGUUAUUUAUACCAAUCACUAACAUUUCCUACUUCAAUAUGUAACUACUUUAUCCAACUCAGCUCACUAACUGCUUAGUCAUAAUAGUUUAUUGGAUGGAUUUCAAAAAUGGUUUUGCAUUUGGUUUGCUUCCCUUAAUAGGAAGCUCAAGAAAGCGUAAAAUUGAGCUUUAAGUAGCAUGUAAGAAGCUCAGCUCAUUUCAAGCAUGAGUACGAGGUGUGGUUUCAAUGCAUUAUUUCUUUGAUUAAUGGUAGUUACUUCUAUGAUUUGGAGAACAUUUUUUGUCAAAGUUAAAAAGAUUUGAAAGAAAAUUCUGAACAGGAUAUGGUCAAAUGGUUAUAGUAAAAAUUGGGAUUAAUUAUCAUUUGGACUCGUAGAAGUGUACUUGUUCCAAUUUUGCUAGCGUGAUCAAGUACAAUGGCACCUUGUAAAUUUUUAUGGCUUGUCUAAAGCGUUUGUGAUAUGAUCAAUUGUUUCUAUAUAUGGCUCCUUGUAUAUGGAUAUAUUGUUUGUAGGUAACAUUUAUUAGAAUGCUAGCUGUAUGAUUAUUGUAAUCAUGCGAGUGAUUGUGUGCGAUAAUCAUGCGAGUGAUUGUGUGCUGUAAUUAUGCUAUUAUACU
rnacentral:misc_RNA from 1 species